CAUCUUCCGGGACUGGAAUGUCACCCGCCUCAAUGGCAGACACAAUGGCGUCAUAAAUCUUUUUAGCAUUCUCGUCGUAGUCGCAGGCGAAGUACGGUGACCACCCCCAUUCCGGGUGUUUAAUCUCACACUCAUACCCCAUCUUAUACUUUACAACGUUUCUGAAUUUCAUCCUCACCUUCCAGGUAGAAGUAAGG
rnacentral:antisense_RNA from 1 species